AUUGAACGCUGGCGGCAGGCCUAACACAUGCAAGUCGAGCGGAUGAAGGGAGCUUGCUCCUGGAUUCAGCGGCGGACGGGUGAGUAAGGCCUAGGAAUCUGCCUGGUAGUGGGGGAUAACGUCCGGAAACGGGCGCUAAUACCGCAUACGGCCUGAGGGAGAAAGUGGGGGAUCUUAGGACCUCACGCUAUCAGAUGAGCCUAGGUCGGAUUAGCUAGUUGGUGGGGUAAAGGCCUACCAAGGCGACGAUCCGUAACUGGUCUGAGAGGAUGAUCAGUCACACUGGAACUGAGACACGGUCCAGACUCCUACGGGAGGCAGCAGUGGGGAAUCUUGGACAAUGGGCGAAAGCCUGAUCCAGCCAUGCCGCGUGUGUGAUGAAGGUCUUCGGAUUGUAAAGCACUUUAAGUUGGGAGGAAGGUCAGUAAGUUAAUACCUUGCUGUUUUGACGUUACCAACAGAAUAAGCACCGGCUAACUUCGUG
rnacentral:rRNA from 1 species